rnacentral:rRNA from 1 species
GACGAACCGUGCGAACGUUAUUCGGAAUCACUGGGCUUAAAGCGCGUGUAGGCGGGCGAGCACGUCCGGCGCUGAAAUCCCCCGGCUUAACCGGGGAACGGGCGCGGAUACGACUCGCCUGGAGGGGCGUAGGGGGACCUGGAACUUCCGGUGGAGCGGUGAAAUGCGUUGAGAUCGGAAGGAACGCCCGUGGCGAAAGCGAGGUCCUGGACGCCUACUGACGCUGAGACGCGAAAGCCAGGGGAGCGGAACGGG